AUACGUAGGGGGCGAGCGUUGUCCGGAAUGAUUGGGCGUAAAGGGCGCGUAGGCGGCCGCUUAAGUCUGGAGUGAAAGUCCUGUUUUCAAGAUGGGAAUUGCUUUGGAUACUGGGGGGCUUGAGUGCAGGAGAGGUUAUCGGAAUUCCCGGUGUAGCGGUGAAAUGCGUAGAGAUCGGGAGGAACACCAGUGGCGAAGGCGGGCAACUGGACUGCAACUGACGCUGAGGCGCGAAAGUGUGGGGAGCAAACAGGAUUAGAUACCCUGGUAGUCCACACUGUAAACGAUGAAUGCUAGGUGUAAGAGGUAUCGACCCCUUUUGUGCCGGAGUCAACACAAUAAGCAUUCCGCCUGGGGAGUACGGCCGCAAGGUUGAAACUCAAAUGAAUUGACGGGG
rnacentral:rRNA from 1 species